rnacentral:tRNA from 1 species
UCCCUGGUGGCUCAGCGGGUUUAGGGUUCAGCAUUGUCAUUGCUGUGGUGCUGGUUCUAUCCCUGGUCUGGGAA